GACGAACGCUGGCGGCGUGCUUAACACAUGCAAGUCGAACGGUGAUCCCAGGAGCUUGCUUCUGGGUGAGCAGUGGCGAACGGGUGAGUAACACGUGAGUAACCUGCCCCUGACUCUGGAAUAAGCGCUGGAAACGGCGUCUAAUACCGGAUACGAGACGCAACCGCAUGGUUAGUGUCUGGAAAGUUUUUCGGUCUGGGAUGGACGCGCGGCCUAUCAGUUUGUUGGUGAGGUAAUGGCUCACCAAGGCGAUGACGGGUAGCCGGCCUGAGAGGGCGAUCGGCCACACUGGGACUGAGACACGGCCCAGCCUCCUACGGGAGGCAGCAGUGGGGAAUAUUGCACAAUGGGCGAAAGCCUGAUGCAGCGACGCCGCGUGAGGGAUGACGGCCUUCGGGUUGUAAACCUCUUUCAGCAGGGAAGAAGCGCAAGUGACGGUACCUGCAGAAGAAGCACCGGCUAACUACGUGCCAGCCGCCGCCGUAA
rnacentral:rRNA from 1 species